rnacentral:lncRNA from 1 species
GCAACACUUCCGGCUGCAAUCCGUGGCGGGUGGAAUCGUCGCUUUGUAACCGGGGACCACGCCGGAGUCACGUGGCUCAGCUUACGAACCGCUGGUGGGCGUUAGAGACCCUCGGCCAGCCCGGUGUCCGUUCUGUCGCUGCAGCACAUCGACAGAGCAGCCCAGCUGGGCAUGACACAAGGGGAAGCCACACCUGAAAGCCUCAGGACAUUCAGUUUAAACUACGAUUCAUUUUUUUUUCCUUCUUUUUACAAGAUGCACAAUACAGCCGUGUUUUUCAAAGGUAGGGUUCUUUUUAUUUCAUUAUUAUGUAACUGUUUCCUUUUUGUCAGUUUUGAGGUAGAGAUGCACACAUUUCCAAUCAGCAUCAAAAAACAAAGGAAAACCACUCAAGCUCCCCCCAGCACACGAAAGGAAUGCACAAGAACACCGUGCCAGUUUUUCCCCCCACUACAAACCCCUCAGGUGAAGUAAAAAUCGUGCCCUUGGCCCAUUAAUUCAGUGAAGACAUCUUGAAGAGAUGAGAUCCGGCAUCAGGGAGGCGCAUCGUCUAAGGCGGUGCUUCCAGAAGGAGAAUCCGCCGCCUCAGAAGCAGGGCUGUCAGGCACAGGGACAGAAGAAGCAUCUGCUUCCAAGCCACGCGGCUGUUCCAGAUCACAGUUCAGGUCAGAGCUUCCUCUGUCGCUCACCUCCCCCUCUGCCUCCUCAGUUAAUUUCUCUUGGGCCUGAGCUGACUCCUCCGGAUCUUCCUGUUCAUGCAGAAAGCUGCAGAUCGUAUUGGGCCUGCUGUAGGAAAAGUCUCUGUCCUUGAUCUGUAACCACUCCACGCCACCUGAUGCAACGAAGGAACAAAAAGAAAUCAGCAUUAGUGAGAACAGGAGUUAAGCCAGGAAAACAAAUUCAUCUGCUCACAGAUAAUUCACGCCGAGCCAAACUAACAUCUUUAUAUCCUAAAUGGUUCUUCUACUUAAACAUCUUUCGAAAGCAUGGAUCAACGCCGGUUUCUGUGCUGCGGCUCUCCUUCAAUUGAUACCAUUCAUUUUCCUUGAGAAGCAGGGCUAGGAGUAACAGGAAGGUCUACUUCAAAUCGAGUGAAAACUUCACUGUUGAAAAAUUAACAUGUGUAGGCUCAACUUACUAGACAUACACGCUUAUAAGACAUACUACAUUGCAACAGGUUUUUAAUCUGCUGUCAGUCAAGAAAAAGAAUGGAUACCAGAAUAACUCUGUAUAGUUCACUGAAGUCAACAGCUCAGCAUCUAGAGAGCAGUCCCAAGGAAGGUAAUUAAGAGAGCAAUGAAAAACAGGAAUGUCGUAACGAUGAGGCACAGAACCAUGCUAUACUGCUCACACAAGUUAAAAACGCAAUGAAGUGAAUAUGUUCACAUGAAUCUGAGAAUAUCCAGUGCUGCAACAAGGAAUGAAAUCAGAGACAGUGUACGAAGGUUUCAACUCCUGAAGUCAAGUGUAUCAAGCUCUUGGCUUCGUAUAUUAUAUAUACAUAUAUUAUAUAUACAUAAAUAUCAAUAUAAUAUAUACAAAUAUGGGUGUGUAUAUACAUAUAUACGUAUAUCUAUCUACAUAUACACACACACAACAGACUCCAACCAGAACUGGGAUCCCCCAUUGUUGCUCCCUGUGGGGAAAAAAAAAUGGGCCUUUUUAUAGAGCAACACAUUCUCUAGUUUAUGGCACUUUAAUAGUUUUUGUUAGUAUUACAUACUUAUAUAAAGAGGAGGAAUGCAUGGUGUUCAUAAGACCGCUGAAUUGUUGUUACAUUCCAGAUAACAUUCAAUGUUAUACAUCCUACAAGCAACAUCUUGCCAACUACCCACUCUGAAUAUUAAAUAGCUACAUAUUCUUAAAAUAUGAAGCAGUAACACUGACUUGAGUGAGAAGAGGUAGCUAAAAGCAAUAGGAUGCUGUUAAUGAGCAUUACUACAUGUAGGGGAGACAGCCGGGAUCUGAAUAACGAAGAGCACAUAUAAAAAUAUAACACUGAAAUAAAGCAAACGUGUAAGCAGAGUCCUGCCUACAGAAUGAAAAAAAAGGUAUGGUCUGCUGGGUAUAUACCUACAAAUAAGUUAAGUUCAAUUAACUACAUAUUACAUAAGAACAAUUUAGUAUAUGAAAGAUGGAACUUCUUAUCAAGGACAUUAUAGAUUUCCAACUUUCACAUAGAUUCAAAAAGCAAUAAGGUGACAGAAAUAAAAAUCUAUGAAAAGCUAUUAAAUGCAAAAGAACUGCCUCAGAUUUCAGAACAAGUGCCAAACUUUUAUACGACAGACAAGCAUACCAGGCGAUCUCAGCAUAUGUUUGACCAGUGCUUACAUCCUUCUGCAGGAAUCUCCUACUGUCAUACUGGAGGCAACUCUGAGCAGAAGGCAUCUGAUUUUUUUUUUUUAAUUAUAUAUUUGUUGCCUAAAGAAGGGAGCUCCUCUAAUUUCUGCAUUCUUGAAUCAAACACUCAACUCAAGGUUGACACGCGUAGUAUAACCCAUCAAUGACCCCAUGCGUUAGAGCAAGGGCACUAACCAAUGCUCUCUUCUCCUUCCUUCUUCUCUGUCAGAAGCGUCCGUGUCAUGUUCAACUUCUUCAUUGUGUGGCACUUGUACUUCAGCUGUAGUUUUUGGUUGCCUUCAGCAUCUACUAUGAAGAGAGAAGGGAAAACCAAUACCCAAAAGGCAAUCAUUAUAGUGAAUUCCACUAUCAGCUGAAACAAGACUAAGAUUAUUUUGAAUCUCACAGGCUUUAACUAUAAACAGGACAUCAAACUGUUACCAUUACCAUGCUCUGUGUUUUCCUCAAAAAACACGCAGGUUCCCAAGGCAUCUAAGGAAAACAAAGUGAAAUAGCCUUAGUCACUAAUAUCUGUCGGCCACAGAUGCUGCACUCACUGUCACAACUCUGGAAAUGCUCUGAUUUCCAGUCUCACCCAAAGGCCCAGCCUUUGUUAACCACUUGCAAAUUCAGGAACAGAUAGCAAUAUUACUGCCAUUGAAUGUACAAUAGAGGGUUUCAGAUCAUUUUCUUCCCAGUGAUGUCACCACAAGGUAAAUAGGAGAGCCACAGUUUGCACAGCACGUCAGUUCUGCUUAUACAGGAGACUGCAAGCACUUACUCCAGGACAUCUUAUACCCCAUAUUUUUUUCUUCAGAAAUAACAGGUGGUACACCUCAGAGUCAAGUCCAGGCAUACUUUCCAGUAAAUAAAUAUGGAUGCGUGGCAAAUUUAGAUGGUGCUGCUCUCUAUUAUUA